UUCCGUCCCCAAAUGGUAUCAAAGCCAAGUUGUUUUUGUUCAAGUUUCCAGUAAGAUCUCAGUAAUCGUUUAUCUACAACCUUCUUCAAAAUUUCUCCUUUAUUCUUGUUUUAAAGUCACCUAACUUACUGUAGUCCAUCUUGUUCAUGUCUAACCUUUGUAUGUCUCUUGGGUGAGCAGUGUCUGGGUAAAGAACAUAGGUAUGAGUCUGCUUAAGGUAAGAGGGUAUGCAUGAAAGAACAAUGAGUAAAAUUAAAUUUUGAAUCUGGUAAAAGAUGAAUAGAUUGUUUAGAUCUAACUCCACAACUAGUAACCGG
rnacentral:lncRNA from 1 species